rnacentral:rRNA from 1 species
GAUGAACGCUGGCGGCGAGCCUAAUACAUGCAAGUCGAGCGAACGGAUAAGGAGCUUGCUCCUUUGAAGUUAGCGGCGGACGGGUGAGUAACACGUGGGUAACCUACCUAUAAGACUGGAAUAGCUUCGGGAAACCGGAGCUAAUGCCGGAUAACAUUUGGAACUGCAUGGUUCUAAAGUAAAAGAUGGUUUUGCUAUCACUUAUAGAUGGACCCGCGCCGUAUUAGCUAGUUGGUAAGGUAACGGCUUACCAAGGCAACGAUACGUAGCCGACCUGAGAGGGGGAUCGGCCACACUGGAACUGAGACACGGUCCAGACUCCUACGGGAGGCAGCAGUAGGGAAUCUUCCGCAAUGGACGAAAGUCUGACGGAGCAACGCCGCGUGAGUGAUGAAGGUUUUCGGAUCGUAAAACUCUGUUAUUAGGGAAGAACAAAUGUGUAAGUAACUGUGCACAUCUUGACGGUACCUAAUCAGAAAGCCACGGCUAACUACGUGCCAGCAGCCGCCGUAA